CUGGCGGCAGGCCUAACACAUGCAAGUCGAGCGGUAGCACAGAGAGCUUGCUCUCGGGUGACGAGCGGCGGACGGGUGAGUAAUGUCUGGGAAACUGCCUGAUGGAGGGGGAUAACUACUGGAAACGGUAGCUAAUACCGCAUAACGUCGCAAGACCAAAGUGGGGGACCUUCGGGCCUCAUGCCAUCAGAUGUGCCCAGAUGGGAUUAGCUGGUAGGUGGGGUAACGGCUCACCUAGGCGACGAUCCCUAGCUGGUCUGAGAGGAUGACCAGCCACACUGGAACUGAGACACGGUCCAGACUCCUACGGGAGGCAGCAGUGGGGAAUAUUGCACAAUGGGCGCAAGCCUGAUGCAGCCAUGCCGCGUGUGUGAAGAAGGCCUUCGGGUUGUAAAGCACUUUCAGCGGGGAGGAAGGCGGUGAGGUUAAUAACCUUGUCGAUUGACGUUACCCGCAGAAGAAGCACCGGCUAACUCCGUGCCAGCAGCCGCGGUAAUACGGAGGGUGCAAGCGUUAAUCGGAAUUACUGGGCGUAAAGCGCACGCAGGCGGUCUGUCAAGUCGGAUGUGAAAUCCCCGGGCUCAACCUGGGAACUGCAUUCGAAACUGGCAGGCUAGAGUCUUGUAGAGGGGGGUAGAAUUCCAGGUGUAGCGGUGAAAUGCGUAGAGAUCUGGAGGAAUACCGGUGGCGAAGGCGGCCCCCUGGACAAAGACUGACGCUCAGGUGCGAAAGCGUGGGGAGCAAACAGGAUUAGAUACCCUGGUAGUCCACGCUGUAAACGAUGUCGAUUUGGAGGUUGUGCCCUUGAGGCGUGGCUUCCGGAGCUAACGCGUUAAAUCGACCGCCUGGGGAGUACGGCCGCAAGGUUAAAACUCAAAUGAAUUGACGGGGGCCCGCACAAGCGGUGGAGCAUGUGGUUUAAUUCGAUGCAACGCGAAGAACCUUACCUGGUCUUGACAUCCACAGAACUUUCCAGAGAUGGAUUGGUGCCUUCGGGAACUGUGAGACAGGUGCUGCAUGGCUGUCGUCAGCUCGUGUUGUGAAAUGUUGGGUUAAGUCCCGCAACGAGCGCAACCCUUAUCCUUUGUUGCCAGCGGUUAGGCCGGGAACUCAAAGGAGACUGCCAGUGAUAAACUGGAGGAAGGUGGGGAUGACGUCAAGUCAUCAUGGCCCUUACGACCAGGGCUACACACGUGCUACAAUGGCAUAUACAAAGAGAAGCGACCUCGCGAGAGCAAGCGGACCUCAUAAAGUAUGUCGUAGUCCGGAUUGGAGUCUGCAACUCGACUCCAUGAAGUCGGAAUCGCUAGUAAUCGUAGAUCAGAAUGCUACGGUGAAUACGUUCCCGGGCCUUGUACACACCGCCCGUCACACCAUGGGAGUGGGUUGCAAAAGAAGUAGGUAGCUUAACCUUCGGGAGGGCGCUUACCACUUUGUGAUUCAUGAC
rnacentral:rRNA from 1 species